GAUGAACGCUGGCGGCGUGCUUAACACAUGCAAGUCGAACGGAAAGGCCAGUGCUUGCACUGGUACUCGAGUGGCGAACGGGUGAGUAACACGUGGGUGAUCUGCCCUGUACUUCGGGAUAAGCUUGGGAAACUGGGUCUAAUACCGGAUAGGACAACUUUUUGGAUAUUGUUGUGGAAAGCUUUUGCGGUAUGGGAUGAGCUCGCGGCCUAUCAGCUUGUUGGUGGGGUAAUGGCCUACCAAGGCGUCGACGGGUAGCCGGCCUGAGAGGGUGUACGGCCACAUUGGGACUGAGAUACGGCCCAGACUCCUACGUGAGGCAGCAGUGGGGAAUAUUGCACAAUGGGCGCAAGCCUGAUGCAGCGACGCCGCGUGGGGGAUGAAGGCCUUCGGGUUGUAAACUCCUUUCGCUAGGGACGAAGCUUUUUUGUGACGGUACCUGGAGAAGAAGCACCGGCUAACUACGUG
rnacentral:rRNA from 1 species